rnacentral:rRNA from 1 species
GACGAACGCUGGCGGCGUGCUUAACACAUGCAAGUCGGACGGAAAGGCCCUGCUUUUGUGGGGUGCUCGAGUGGCGAACGGGUAAGUAACACGUGAGUAACCUGCCCUUGACUUUGGGAUAACUUCAGGAAACUGGGGCUAAUACCGGAUAGGAGCUCCUGCUGCAUGGUGGGGGUUGGAAAGUUUCGGCGGUUGGGGAUGGACUCGCGGCUUAUCAGCUUGUUGGUGGGGUAGUGGCUUACCAAGGCUUUGACGGGUAGCCGGCCUGAGAGGGUGACCGGCCACAUUGGGACUGAGAUACGGCCCAGACUCCUACGGGAGGCAGCAGUGGGGAAUAUUGCACAAUGGGCGGAAGCCUGAUGCAGCAACGCCGCGUGCGGGAUGACGGCCUUCGGGUUGUAAACCGCUUUCGCCUGUGACGAAGCGUGAGUGACGGUAAUGGGUAAAGAAGCACCGGCUAACUACGUG